rnacentral:misc_RNA from 1 species
UCCGGUUUGACACCGGCAGUCUCGCUAGAGUACUGGCUUGCGCCGAGCAACUAGCGACAGGGGUUGCGCUCGUUAAGGGACUUAACCCGACACUUCACAGCACGAGCUGACGACAGCCAUGCAGCACCUGUGCACGUUCCACCCUUGCGGGUGUGGCCGAGCUUUCACCCGGUUAAUCCGUGCAUGUCAAGCCUAGGUAAGGUUCUUCGCGUUGCCUCGAAUUAAGCAACAUGCUCCACCGCUUGUGUGAGCCCCCGUCAAUUCAUUUGAGUUUUAGCCUUGCGACCGUACUCCCCAGGCGGUGCACUUAUCGGUUUUCCGUCGACCGAUACGGCGUCAAAGCCGCACCGAUCUAGUGCACAUCGUUUACGGCGUGGACUAC